rnacentral:lncRNA from 1 species
GACCGGGGCGCGCGCUGCCCGGCGCCGCCUCACAUCGCGGGCUCCGGCGCCGCGCUCCUCGGCCGCCCCGGGUGCGGCUGUGGCGGGGCCCGGGUGCGGCGCGGGCCGCGGUGGCCGUCCCUCCGCAGGGCGCAGGCAGCAAACUUUGGCGGCGUCCGCGCGGCGCCGUCUCCGCCGGCGCGCCGGGCUCGCCCCUUUAUAGAGUGUCUGCGCCGCCGCCCGCGCCCCCCCCGCCGCCGCCGCCGGGCGGCCCCUCCCGGAGCGAGCGGCCGCGGGCAGGGCUCCGACCCGGCGCCUUUGUCUCGCCCGGGCCGCUCGGGCGCCGCGCCUCCUGUUCCGGGCGCGCGGGGUCGGCCGGCCGCCUUCGCUGCUCCGCCGCGGCUCUCAGCGCCGCUCAGCGCGGCGGGCCCGCCCGGGCUCAGGUGCCCCCCGCUCUCCGGACCUUCUCGCCCGGCCCCGCGUCCCCUCCGCGGGCUUCCCCCGGCGGCCGGCCGGGCUCGGAGGCUCGCGGCCGGAGCGGAGCGGAGUGCGCACGCCGGGGUGGCAGGACUUCGGCAAGACCAACUUUCCGUGGUCCUGUCUGGUGUGAACCGUCAGCACAGAUGGCCUCCUGGAGCUUCCCCGAGUCGUUCGCUGGGGGAAGCGGGCGGUGAGCGGCCAGCCCGGGCGCUCCGCAGGCCGCGAGCUCCCGGCAGGGCUGGUGGCGGGGGUCCGCCUGGGGGAGGAAUCCCCGCCUGCUCCAUCGGACCCGGCCUGGCGCGGCUCGCGGCGCUCGGCGGGCUCCCUUCCAUUCUAGAAUCUUCCCGCUUGCUUCCCAGCCCGCGUUCUUCCGCCUGCCUUUAAUUGUAAGCAGACACAGGUUCCCACGGCGUCUGACGCCUGCGGAGCAAGUCCAGAGCCAGCUGGACUCGCAGCCUCUGGCCCGGCGGCACCAACUCCUCACUGGGUCAUUUUGAGCGCGCUGUGCCCACCUUUUCUGUUGCGUGUGGACGUGGGGAGGAUCUUCUAAGUCCCUCCAACGAAGGCAAGUGUGAGACUCUGGCCCUUUAUUUGUAAGAAGCAAGCCUUCAGAUUGCAGAAGUGUCGCGCGGGUCGCCGUGCGUUGCGCGAGUGGGAAGAUGGAGGAGGCCGGCACGCUGCUUUCGUGGACGCAAGUGAACCGGGCGUGAAGGCAGGGUGCGAGCUCUGCCCUUGGCCCAGCCCUGCGUGGGCGCCGUCCCAGAUUCCGGGCGGUGCGGGGUGCAGAGAUCUGGAGAGACUUGCGGGCUCCCCAGCGCAGGCUGCUCUGGGAUUUCGUUGGAAGAUCCGGCAGAGCCUUGGAGGAGAGGGCCCGGGAGGCUGUGUGUGCAGCGGAAACUUGUACGAAUGCCCCCACAGCGGAAAUGGUGCGCACGAGUAAUUUCUGCGGUGCACCCUUUUAAAAAUUGACAAGUGAACAAG